rnacentral:tRNA from 1 species
UGCCGCAUGGCUGAGUUGGUCACAGCGUCCGACUGUUAUAAGUACAGUAUUGUGUAUGAUAACAUCGGAAGGUCGAGAGUUCGAGCCUCUCUGGGGCAG